rnacentral:rRNA from 1 species
UACGAAGGGGGCUAGCGUUGCUCGGAAUCACUGGGCGUAAAGGGUGCGUAGGCGGGUUCUUAAGUCAGGGGUGAAAUCCUGGAGCUCAACUCCAGAACUGCCUUUGAUACUGAGAGUCUUGAGUUCGGGAGAGGUGAGUGGAACUGCGAGUGUAGAGGUGAAAUUCGUAGAUAUUCGCAAGAACACCAGUGGCGAAGGCGGCUCACUGGACCGGUUCUGACGCUGAGGCGCGAAAGCGUGGGGAGCAAACGGG